CUGAGGCUUGAGAAGGAUAAAUAGACAAAAAACACUAGUUCUGCCUCUAGAAGCUCCUAGUCCAGUGGGGGAGGCAGGUGGUCAAACGGACAUCCAUAGCCAAGAGUGAUCAGUGCCACAAGAGAGAGGCUUUGGAUGAUGGGAUCCCCUGAGGAAGGGCAGGAAAUGAAAACUGAGAUGUUCUUAGGGAUAUUUGCCCUGAAGAAGCAACAUAAACUACAACUUGAAGGACAAGUAUGAGUUUGUCCUAAGGAGGAGCAAUAGUAUGCCUCAGAUGAGGCUCAAGAGGCUCACCAGGAGGAGUCAGUGAUUGCUGUGUCAUGGUAGGAGCUGCAGAAGAUGAAAUCUGAAAGGAAACGUGGUACUCUAUAUGCAGAAUCCGAAUCUCCAAGCUUGGAAUCUGGCACUCUUUGUGUAGAAGUCAAUGUCUGAUCAUGAAAAAUGUGUGGAGCCUCGAACUCCUGGCACGGCACCUGGUAUAAGGAUUAUAGAGUGGUGUGGAAAGGAAAAGAGAACUACACAGGAAUCGGAACGCCUAAAGUCAGCUGACAGGUCUGCCCCAUCUGCCUCUGUGUCCUUUGGAUUGUUCAACCAUAACGAGUUUUCCCACCUUCUAUUUUGUGCGAAGAUGCUCGCUGAGACUGGUUCCAGCCCUGGCAUUCUCUUCUCUGCCUCUAUUUUGUGCUCCUGUCUAUGAAGUGCCUCUUGCCUUUGUGUUCAAGCUGUGUGAGGCCCAAUUAGUCUGGGGCAAACUGGGCCAUUUGAGCAAGAAGCAACCUGAAGAUUAGCUUUGAUCCCACCCUGACCUCCUGACAUCCUACCUCCUGCGGCUUCCUCCAUGAUUUCAGCUGUUGCCCAAGGAAGGUAUUUUUUUAUUUGGUUGAAGUUUCCCAUUCAACCCAGAAAAUCAAAUAUCAUUUUAACAGAUCUCAGCUUAGGAAGUCAGCCUUGCAGCUGCCUGGGGUGCCUCAUGAUCUCUUCCUAUUCAAGGGCCUGCCUUUUCUCCAUUUUACAGUUCUGGCCUUGGUUAACAGGGGUUGGUUGCCUGGGGGACUCGGAUCUGGAUAAGGUUGCUGCUUGGGUCUGAGCAGAGGAGAGUAUUAGGGCCGGGAGACUAACCUGGGGCUGGAAGAAGUCUUUAGAGCAUCUCCUAUUCUGUUCCCAAAGGGCAACCACUUUGAAUUCUUUGUCCCUCGUAUACCUGAAAAAUAAACUUCUAAUGCUUUGUGUGGAUUUUUCAACUUUAAAUAUCCAUUUUUAAAUUUAAUUUUAAUGCCAGUGUGUUAACAUAGAGUGUUACAUGCAUUUCAAGUGUAUAAUCUAGUGAUUCAGCAAUUCCAUAUAUUUCUCAGCGCUCAUCAAGAUAAGCGUAUUCUGGGAUCCCUGGGUGGCGCAGCGGUUUGGCGCCUGCCUUUGGCCCAGGGUGCGAUCCUGGAGACCCCGGAUCGAAUCCCACGUCAGGCUCCCAGUGCAUGGAGCCUGCUUCUCCCUCUGCCUGUGUCUCUGCCUCUCUCUCUCUCUAUGUGACUAUCAUAAAAAAAAAAAAAAAAAAAAAAAAAAAAAGAUAAGCGUAUUCUUCAUCCCCAUCACUUAUUUCACCCAUCUCCCGCUGGUAAACAUCUGUUUGUUCUCUACAGUUACGUCUGGAAUUUUUUUGGGGGGGGUGGUUUUUGGUUUGUUUCUUAUUCUUUUUCCCCCUUUGUUCAUUUGUUUUGUUUCUUAAAUUCCACACAUGAGUGUCUUUCUCUGACUGGCUUAUUUUGCUUAGCAUUGUACGCUCUAGCUCCAUCCACGUGGUUGCAAACGGCAGGGUUUCCAUUUUUUUUCUUAUGGCUGAAUAAUACUUUAUUGUAUAUAUAUGUCACAUAUUUUUUACCCAUUCAUCUGUCAGUGGACACUUGGACUGCUUCCACAGUUUGGCUAUUGUAAAUAAUGCUGCAAUUAACAUAGGGAUGCAUGCAUCUUUCUGAAUUAGUGUUUUCUUUUGGUAAAUACUCAGUAGUGUGAUUACUGGAUCAUAUGGUAAUUCUAUUUUUAAUUUUUUGAGGAACCUCCAUACUUAGACAUUAUUUAUUUCCAGCAGUGGUAGAUGAGUCUUUCACACAUUUAUGCAUUCCCAGCUUCUCUCUGCCAUCUGCCAUACUGUUAGUUUUUUAUGACCCUGAAAUAUUGUUGACCCAGGACAUGGAAUGUGUUCUGAUUACAUUUCUUUUCUAGUUUUUCUCCAUCCUGAGUGUCUACAGUUCUUUCUUUUUUCUCAUUCUAUUUCCUUUAUCCUCACCUCUCUUUUAUUUUCCUCAAAUCUUCAUCAUCUCACCUAUUCUCUUUUUUAAAAGAUUUAUUUAUUUGAAAGAGAGAGAGAGAGCGAGCACAGAGGGUGGAGCAGAGGGAGAGAGUCUUCAAGCAGACUCCUGGCUAAGCACAGAGCCUACAUGGGGCAUGAGAUCAUGACCUGAGCCAGAACCAAGAAUCUGACCCUUAACUGACUGAGAUCUAGUCCUGUCAAGGAAACACUCCAAUGUGCUUAAGAAAAAGGCAUGGAGAGCUUACUGAUAGCCAGGGAUGCUUUGCUGGACUCUUUAAAUCCUUAAAGCAUUUCUUUCGAUCCCGUGUGUUAAGUGUCUGCUAUGUGACAGGCACUGACAAUACAGAGAUGGAUAAAAUAUGGCCCCUGUGACCAAGCACUUACUCCAUCUCUUUCCAUUGCCCAGGAUAGGGCCUCUCUUGUUCCCAGCACCUAGCCCAGCAUCAUCAGUAAAUGUUUACUGAGUACCCAUUUGAGACCAUCUUCACACAUUUCACCCCAGUCCUGCCCCCCUCAGGCCCCAGAUGAAGUGUUGUAUGCUGCACCUUCUGACACCAAUCCUUCCUUACAGAGCUAUACCCAGGGGAAGCAGUGUGCUGGGGACUAGGCUAAGACAGUCGGUGAACAGUAGCCCUGGCACCUGAUCUCAGCUCUUGCUCUGCAGGCCUCCUCUGAGUCUCUGUCCGCCUGACUAUAAAACCGUCAAGCAUGUCCUGCCCUUCUGUCUUUCCCUUGCAUGAGGCUGAGAACAGGGUAUGAGUUUCUGACCACAGAAGACUACCUGAGGCAUAUUCAAUUACUCCUUAGAAGCAUUACUUUCAGGGACACCUGGGUGGCUCAGCGGUUGAGCAUCUGCCUUUGGCUCAAGUCAUGAUCCCAGGGUCCUGGGAUUGAGUCCCACAUUGAGUCCCACAUCAAGUCCUGCAUAAGGCUCCCCAUGGGGGGAGCCUGCUCCUCCCUCUGCCUAUGAAUCUGCCUCUCUCUGUCUCUCAUGAAUAAAUAAAUAAAAUAUUUUUUUAAAAAAAGAAGAACCAUUACUUUCAGCUCAUAUAGAUUCUGCAAUUAGUUUUGAAUGACAAAGAGUGUACCUAUGCAUCAAGCAAUGGUCCCCUUGUCUUGCCCUGAGGGUCUCGGCACCUACUUACUUAGGACAGGCUUUUCCACAGUUUGUUUGCGACGCUGCCCUCCCACCUCAGGUGUCUGUGUACCUGCCAGAAGCAUUUCAUGCAGCUCUCCAUCUGGGCAAUAGAUUACAAACCCCCACCCAGCGCCGAGGGCCGCUGCAGAUGGCCGUGCACCUGGGACUCCCGAGUCCCCGGGGCCAUGGGGCCUGGCUUUGGACUUCCCUGCUUGGCUGGCAGCCCUGGAAGCCCCAGCUCAUCUAGCAGGGAGCUGUAAAGCUGGCCCCUAGCUAGAACAGCCUCCAGCCCAAGUCCACGCGGAAAAGAGGCAGAGGUGUUAAACCGCUGUACGUAACCUAAUACCUGGUGAGUUAGCCCAUGCAGGGCACGAAGGAGACGCAAGGCCAGCCACCUCCAGUCUGUGAUGGGCCAUCCCAGGGCCACCCGUCCGCGGAGCUACAGCCCCGCACAGCCCUUCCGGAGCCCUGGCUGCCUGCCGCGGGCACUUCUCGGGACUUCUCAGGUGCCCGAAUCUCUCACCCUCAUGGGUCUUUGGUGAAAAACCUGAGCCAGGUGCUUCCAACCUCCAUUCCACACCACAGUCAUCAAAAUAUUUUAUUUUAUUAAGGUUUUAUUUAUUUAUUUAUUUGAGACAGAGAGAGAGCAUGAGCAGGAGGAGGGGCAGAGGGAGAGGGAGGGAGAGAAUCCCAAGCAGAUGUCCCCCGGAGUGUAGAGCCCGACUUGGGGCUCAAUCUCAUGACCCUGAGACCAUGACCUGAGUCAAAAUCAAGAGUCAGACACCUAACCGACUGAGCCACCCAGGCACCUUUUUUUGUUUUGUUUUGUUUUGUUUUAAGAUUUUAUUUAUUUAUCAUUAAAAUAUUUUAAAAAUAUACAAAAACAUAAACAGUAAUGUUACUCUCUCUCCAUGGCUGGCUGUUGCCUUAGAUUCUGACCCUAGCUCGCCCCUAUAGCCUGGGAGACCCUGCUGCAUGCGGCCCAGCUGCUCCGCCCUGGUGCUGUGUCUCCAGAAGUGCUCCCAUCUGACAGCAGUGAGAAUAUGCCAAGCACUUUCCCAGCCCAGGGCCUUCAUACAAGCUGUUUCUCAUCCCUGGGAUGCUUUUCUCUCCACACUUGUCAUAUCCGGUUCCGAAGUCGACAUCCUCGUAGACAUCUCUAUCCCAGAUAACCCACCCCCCACCC
rnacentral:lncRNA from 1 species